rnacentral:rRNA from 1 species
UACGUAGGGGGCAAGCGUUGUCCGGAUUUAUUGGGCGUAAAGAGCGUGUAGGCGGCCAGACAGGUCAGCUGUGAAAACUCGAGGCUCAACCUCGAGACGUCGGUUGAAACCGUCUGGCUAGAGUCCGGAAGAGGAGAGUGGAAUUCCCGGUGUAGCGGUGAAAUGCGCAGAUAUCGGGAAGAACACCCGUGGCGAAGGCGGCUCUCUGGGACGGUACUGACGCUGAGACGCGAAAGCGUGGGGAGCGAACGA